CGAGGUGAUAUGAACCCUUGACCCGGCGAUGUCCGAAUGGGGAAACCCAGUGCAAUCCGUUGCACUAUCGUUAACUGAAUACAUAGGUUAACGAGGCGAACCGGGGGAACUGAAACAUCUAAGUACCCCGAGGAAAAGAAAUCAACCGAGAUUCCCCCAGUAGCGGCGAGCGAACGGGGAGCAGCCCGGAGUCUGAAUCAGCUUGUGUGUUAGUGGAACGGUCUGGAAAGUCCGACGGUACAGGGUGAUAGUCCCGUACACGAAAGCACACAUGCUGUGAACUCGAAGAGUAGGGCGGGACACGUGGUAUCCUGUCUGAAUAUGGGGGGACCAUCCUCCAAGGCUAAAUACUCCUGACUGACCGAUAGUGAACCAGUACCGUGAGGGAAAGGCGAAAAGAACCCCGGCGAGGGGAGUGAAAAAGAACCUGAAACCGUGUACGUACAAGCAGUGGGAGCACCUUCGGGUGUGACUGCGUACCUUUUGUAUAAUGGGUCAGCGACUUAUAUUCUGUAGCAAGGUUAACCGUAUAGGGGAGCCGAAGGGAAACCGAGUCUUAACUGGGCGUUAAGUUGCAGGGUAUAGACCCGAAACCCGGUGAUCUAGCCAUGGGCAGGUUGAAGGUUGGGUAACACUAACUGGAGGACCGAACCGACUAAUGUUGAAAAAUUAGCGGAUGACCUGUGGCUGGGGGUGAAAGGCCAAUCAAACCGGGAGAUAGCUGGUUCUCCCCGAAAGCUAUUUAGGUAGCGCCUCGUGAACUCAUCUUCGGGGGUAGAGCACUGUUUCGGCUAGGGGGCCAUCCCGGCUUACCAACCCGAUGCAAACUACGAAUACCGAAGAAUGUUAUCACGGGAGACACACGGCGGGUGCUAACGUCCGUCGUGAAGAGGGAAACAACCCAGACCGCCAGCUAAGGUCCCAAAGUCAUGGUUAAGUGGGAAACGAUGUGGGAAGGCACAGACAGCCAGGAUGUUGGCUUAGAAGCAGCCAUCAUUUAAAGAAAGCGUAAUAGCUCACUGGUCGAGUCGGCCUGCGCGGAAGAUGUAACGGGGCUAAACCAUGCACCGAAGCUGCGGCAGCGACACUUAUGUGUUGUUGGGUAGGGGAGCGUUCUGUAAGCCGUUGAAGGUGUGCUGUGAGGCAUGCUGGAGGUAUCAGAAGUGCGAAUGCUGACAUAAGUAACGAUAAAGCGGGUGAAAAGCCCGCUCGCCGGAAGACCAAGGGUUCCUGUCCAACGUUAAUCGGGGCAGGGUGAGUCGACCCCUAAGGCGAGGCCGAAAGGCGUAGUCGAUGGGAAACAGGUUAAUAUUCCUGUACUUGGUGUUACUGCGAAGGGGGGACGGAGAAGGCUAUGUCAGCCGGGCGACGGUUGUCCCGGUUUAAGCAUGUAGGCGGAGGUUCCAGGUAAAUCCGGUACCUU
rnacentral:rRNA from 2 species